GAGUUCGUCCGGAACAACGAGAACUGCUAAUUACUCGCCACUACAGUUCGACUCUGUAGCUAACUCA
rnacentral:tRNA from 2 species